UAUUAAUUUAUUACUACUCAUUAUUCAUAAUAAUAAGUGAAAACAUUUAUUUCCAGUGUCCCUGGCAGGGAGUAAGGGAGCGUGUUUAGAUCGUUCUCCGUUUUUAUUUUCCCAGAAAUGAUAUAAUGAGCUUCAACCUAGAAGAGUCCUUUCCUAAGCAUGGAAGUUACUUCCCAGGAGGGACUUGGGUGCUGAAGUGCUUGGAUCUGCCUCAUUAAUCUAUGUGGUAGAGAAGUUUCUCAUUUUCCUGACUUUGCUUGGAGCCCAGGCUCAGAUACAAACUGGAGGAUAAAAGGAGGCUACUUAAAAUAACAGCAGCUAUUUUUAUAAAAGUGAUAAAAUAUCUUGAGCAAGAGAGGUGGCUCUUAAAACCAGCCGCUAUGGUCGCUCCUCUUGAUGAAGAAGGUUUAUUCUCAUGACACAUUUCAUAGCUUUAUAAUCUGGGCUAUUAGAAAACAGAAAGCCCAAGGAGCAUUUAUGACAUCUUAUAAGGCUGAGGUUAUUUUAAAACCUCAUGAAACCAUGGACAAAUAUUCUUCAAAAUCUGAAAGUAUGAUUCUGGGAGUCUGGGUAUGGAGGAAGCAGGAGCUGUGGUGCGGCAGAAGAGCGUGGAACAAAGAUUUAAGACGUCUGGGUCUGAUGGUUUUGCCUUCCAGGAGCUCAGUCUCCAUAUCUGUAAAAUGGAGAGUAUAUUCUCAUCUUCACUGGGUUGCUGAGAGGAACAGAGAAACACUUCUCCGGUAUUAA
rnacentral:lncRNA from 1 species